rnacentral:rRNA from 1 species
UGGGGAAUAUUGCGCAAUGGGGGGAACCCUGACGCAGCCAUGCCGCGUGAAUGAAGAAGGCCUUAGGGUUGUAAAGUUCUUUCGGUAUUGAGGAAGGUUGAUGUGUUAAUAGCACAUCAAAUUGACGUUAAAUACAGAAGAAGCACCGGCUAACUCUGUGCCAGCAGCCGCGGUAAUACGGAGGGUGCGAGCGUUAAUCGGAAUAACUGGGCGUAAAGGGCACGCAGGCGGUUAUUUAAGUGAGGUGUGAAAGCCCCGGGCUUAACCUGGGAAUUGCAUUUCAGACUGGGUAACUAGAGUACUUUAGGGAGGGGUAGAAUUCCACGUGUAGCGGUGAAAUGCGUAGAGAUGUGGAGGAAUACCGAAGGCGAAGGCAGCCCCUUGGGAAUGUACUGACGCUCAUGUGCGAAAGCGUGGGGAGCAAACAGGAUUAGAUACCCUGGUAGUCCACGCUGUAAACGCUGUCGAUUUGGGGGUUGGGGUUUAACUCUGGCGCCCGUAGCUAACGUGAUAAAUCGACCGCCUGGGAGUACGGCCGCAAGGUUA